UACGUAGGAGGCGAGCGUUGUCCGGAGUUACUGGGCGUAAAGGGUGCGUAGGCGGCUCUAUAAGUAUGGUGUGAAAUCUCCCGGCUUAACUGGGAGGGUGCGCUAUAGACUGUGGGGCUAGAGUGCGGGAGAGGAAAGUGGAAUUCCUGGUGUAGCGGUGAAAUGCGUAGAUAUCAGGAGGAACACCGGUGGUGUAAACGGCUUUCUGGACCGUAACUGACGCUGAUGCACGAAAGCGUGGGUAGCAAACAGG
rnacentral:rRNA from 1 species